ACGCGUGGCAUGUUGCUUGCGAAGAUAAUCUUGCAUCCCUGAUCGGAAGAUCCAGGGAAUUACUCUGAUGCAGACGCUCGACGCAGUUAGUCGUAUCGUCAAAAGUUGUCGUUGUCGUUUUUGGUAUCGCUGUCGAGCUCGAGGAGAAGACGGGGUCGAGGAUCAUCUCCAGCUGCGAGGAUACGUAUCGGUGAGGUUGCCUAUCUUUACUUGUGAGCCACAUACGCGAUUCGGUCCGACGACCGGCCGUUCUGUCGCCGUCGCCAUUUUCGUGUUUUGCUGUCACUCAGGCCUUGUGCGAGCUGUCGAUUUUUCGUGGAUUUCAAGCGGAGACAAGCGAGGUAUCGCGGACAGUCGUAAUGGAGGCAGUAAAAGAUAAGUUACUUGUCAGUAUCUACAAAUAGAAAUGGAACAUCAAUAUGCAAAAACAUUUUCAAAUAAUAAUGAAACUAACAUUACAUUACAAAAUGAAAAUAACGAGGAUAUUGAUAUCAUAUUAAAUUCAGGAGAUUCUUUAUUAAUUGAUUUAGUGCGAAGUUAUCCUCAUCUAUAUGAUAAAUUCAUCAUUAUCAAAUUUCAAAGAUUCAAUAAUGAAAGAAAAUUCAUGGAAUAAAAUUGGAAAAGUAAUGAUAUGUCCACCUACUGAAUGCCAAACUCGAUGGGUUAGAUUAAGAGAAAGAUUCUCAAAAGAAAGAAGAGAAAUUGAAGCUGAAAAUAAAAGUGAAAGUAUCCCAUCGGAAAAGUUUUUCACUGUAUGAAAAUAUGAAAUUUUUGAAUAAUUAUCAACGAAGAAAGACUAUUACAAAUAUUUUACGAAAUAAAAGAGAAAAUAAGAAAAAUGUUCCUUCAAAAUCGUCAACUUCGCUUAAUUUGGAAAUGAAUUUCGAAGAAAAUUCGUCUCAAUCUUCUACAUUACAUUUGAGUUCCACAUUAUCAAGCAAUCUACCCCAAUGUUUUACAUUACGACAUUUAAUGAGUCCCAUAUCAAGUAAUCUACCUCAAUCUUCUACAUUACAACAUUUAAUGGAUCCUACAUCACCAAGCAAGCAGAAAAAAUGUUACACACCAUUACAGAUAAAAUCACGUAACAUCUAAGAAACGUAAAUCAGAAUCAGACGAUGUAGAAAAGUCACUUUUGUCACUAUCCAAUAUAAUUGCAGAUAAAAUACAAAAUUUUGAUAAAAAUAUUAAAUCAGAUAUAAAUAAAGAUGAAACAAAGAAUUCAGAAGAUAAAUUUUUAGAUCCAAUAGCUGCAGAAAUAAAACAACUUCCGGAAGACGAGCGUAAAAAAAAGAAGAAGGAAAUAAUUAAUAUUUUGUGG